UACAGGCUUAACACAUGCAAGUCGAGGGGCAGCAUUUCAGUUUGCUUGCAAACUGGAGAUGGCGACCGGCGCACGGGUGAGUAACACGUAUCCAACCUGCCGAUAACUCGGGGAUAGCCUUUCGAAAGAAAGAUUAAUACCCGAUGGUAUAAUCAGACCGCAUGGUCUUGUUAUUAAAGAAUUUCGGUUAUCGAUGGGGAUGCGUUCCAUUAGGCAGUUGGUGAGGUAACGGCUCACCAAACCUUCGAUGGAUAGGGGUUCUGAGAGGAAGGUCCCCCACAUUGGAACUGAGACACGGUCCAAACUCCUACGGGAGGCAGCAGUGAGGAAUAUUGGUCAAUGGGCGCAGGCCUGAACCAGCCAAGUAGCGUGAAGGAUGACUGCCCUAUGGGUUGUAAACUUCUUUUAUAUGGGAAUAAAGUUUUCCACGUGUGGAAUUUUGUAUGUACCAUAUGAAUAAGGAUCGGCUAACUCCGUGCCAGCAGCCGCGGUAAUACGGAGGAUCCGAGCGUUAUCCGGAU
rnacentral:rRNA from 1 species